AGGACGAACGCUGGCGGCGUGCUUAACACAUGCAAGUCGAGCGGUAAGGCCUCCUUCGGGGGGUACACGAGCGGCGAACGGGUGAGUAACACGUGGGUGACCUGCCCUCAGCUCUGGGAUAAGCCUGGGAAACCGGGUCUAAUACCGGAUGGGACUGCUUGCCGCAUGGUGGGUGGUGGAAAGUUUUUUCGGCUGGGGAUGGGCCCGCGGCCUAUCAGCUUGUUGGUGAGGUAAUGGCUCACCAAGGCGACGACGGGUA
rnacentral:rRNA from 1 species